rnacentral:rRNA from 1 species
AAUGAACGCUGGCGGCAUGCUUUACACAUGCAAGUCGAACGGUAACGGGCCUUCGGGUUCCGUCGCGCGGCGGACGGGGGAGUAAUACAUCCGAGCGUGCCCGAUCGUGGGCGAUAACGUGACGAAAGCUUUCCGAAUACCGCAUACGAUCUACGGAUGAAAGCAGUGGACCGUAAUGCCACGGUUGGUCGGAGUGGGCGAGGGCGGAUUAGGUAGUUGGUGGGUUAGACGUUUACCAUGCCGACGACCUGUACCUGGACUGAGAGGAAGAGGAGCCACACUGGGACUGAGACACGGACCAGACUCCUCAGGGAGGCCGCAGUGGGCAAUUGUAGACAAUGGGCGCAAGUCUGGUGCAGCCAUGCCGCGUGCAGGAUACCAGCCUUCGGGUUGUAAUGACCUCUUGUUCGGAGCGAAAGGCUUUCGUUUAAUACGAGAGGGGCUUGACGGUACCGUAUGAAUAAGCACCGGCUAACUACGUG